GUAAGGAAUAUUGGUCAAUGGACGAAAGUCUGAACCAGCCAUGCCGCGUGGAGGAUGAAGGUCCUCUGGAUUGUAAACUUCUUUUAUAUGGGACGAAAAAAGGCUUUUCUACGUCGUCUGACGGUACCAUAUGAAUAAGCACCGGCUAACUCCGUGCCAGCAGCCGCGGUACUACGGAGGGUGCAAGCGUUAUCCGGAUUCACUGGGUUUAAAGGGUGCGUAGGUGGAUUGCCAAGUCCGUGGUGAAAUCUUCGAGCUUAACUCGGAAACUGCCAUGGAUACUGGUGAUAUUGAAGAUCGUGGAGGUUAGCGGAAUAUGUCAUGGAGCGGUGAAAUGCUUAGAUAUGACAUAGAACACCAAUUGCGAAGGCAGCUGGCUACGCGAAUAUUGACACUCAGGCACGAAAGCGUGGGGAUCAAACAGGAUUAGAUACCCUGGUAGUCC
rnacentral:rRNA from 1 species